AGUGAACGCUGGCGGUAGGCCUAACACAUGCAAGUCGAACGGCAGCACAGUAAGAGCUUGCUCUUACGGGUGGCGAGUGGCGGACGGGUGAGGAAUACAUCGGAAUCUACUUUUUCGUGGGGGAUAACGUAGGGAAACUUACGCUAAUACCGCAUACGACCUACGGGUGAAAGCAGGGGAUCUUCGGACCUUGCGCGAUUGAAUGAGCCGAUGUCGGAUUAGCUAGUUGGCGGGGUAAAGGCCCACCAAGGCGACGAUCCGUAGCUGGCCUGAGAGGAUGAUCAGCCACACUGGAACUGAGACACGGUCCAGACUCCUACGGGAGGCAGCAGUGGGGAAUAUUGGACAAUGGGCGCAAGCCUGGUCCAGCCAUACCGCGUGGGUGAAGAAGGCCUUCGGGUUGUAAAGCCCUUUUGUUGGGAAAGAAAAGCAGCAGGUUAAUACCCCGCUGUUCUGACGGUACCCAAAGAAUAAGCACCGGCUAACUUCGUG
rnacentral:rRNA from 1 species